rnacentral:lncRNA from 12 species
AAGGCAGGUACCUCAGCCCUGCGUGGAACUACAUUAAACCAGACUUCUUCUGCUAUGAAGCAUUAAAAGAAGGCCCAGAUUCUUCUUGUAGCUUCGACUAUGCAGGAUUUGAAAUGCUGCAGGACCAAGAGAAGUGAAUCAACGGGAUAAAAGCAAGCAUUGUCCUUCAUUCUGCUCCUCAGGGAAGAUAAUUAAUUAAUGUUAUCAAACUAUAAAACUAAAGAAUAUAUCGGUUCAUUUAAGUGAAAUCUGCUGUUGCACAGAGGAUAAAGG